UUUCCAAAAGAUAAUCAUAUGCACUGGAACAAGUUACAAUUGUGUACAAAGAGGGUCAGCCAAGGAUAAAUUACCACAGGAAAGGAGUGCCGCUGAUAUGAAAUAGGUAUCCUUUGAUCUUCAUCUCUUUCUCCCAAGGAAGCAAAUGUUACACCCAAAUACUGUCCUUUUAAUGCCAACCCUGCUCUUCUCCUCAACCCCUUUAUAUGUACAAUCCUAAAUUAUAGGUGCGAAGGAGAACAUGGAUCUCCAUUGGAGUUCCUUUCAUCUUAAUCUUCACUGGGACAAUGGCAAAGGAAAUACUCUCCUCAGUAAUGACACAAGACCUUGCAAGCGACUACAACUUGUGAA
rnacentral:lncRNA from 1 species